ensembl:lncRNA
GGGGGAGGGGGGGGGGGGGGCGCUUGCCUGAAGUGAAUCCGGUUGUUGUGAUCGAGAGCACAUUGCUCUUUGAAGGGGAAAGGAGAGGGGUUGAGGCAGAGAGGGGGAGGGGGGAGGGGGAUUUUAGGUUUUUUCGGAGAGGGGAGGGGAGUGCAUGCUUGGAGGAGGUGGCCUGAAGGGUCCAAUGCGAGAGGAGGAUCGCAGAAGAGGAGACGCUCCCUACUGCACAGCAGAGCAGGAGCAGGGAUGUUAGUGUUGGGACCAGGAGGUGGAUUUGUCUCUAGGGAGGGGGAUGUGUCUCUAGGGAGGGGGAUAGAGGAGGGGGAUGGGGAUGUGUCUCUAGGGACAGACAGAGGUUGUAGCGGUGAUGCAGAGUGUUAGUUUAGUUUAUGAGCAGGUAAUCUCCACAUGUGUCAGAGAGUGAAAAGAGGUAAACAGAAGGAAGGAAGGAAGGAAGGAAGGAGGGGAUUAUUGAAUGUAAUGAAUACUGCUCCUAGUUUCACCAUUGCCCUACAUUUCUCAAGAAUUCUAAUAUGUGGGCACAGUGUUUGUUUUAUGAUGGUGAAGAUCAUUUGAUUUGAAAUUAAAGUCGGACUGAAGUAGAGUGAGUUAUGAAGUGAAAUUCGUUUUUUUUUUUUCGUUUUUUCUUAAAGCAUCGUUGAUUCGUGAAUGUUGUUGCUCUUAUUUUCAGACACUUGGGCUUUAGGCCCAGACGGCUCUUACUGACUGGAUUAAAAGAUUGUGAGCCGUGGUGUGGCGUGGUGUGAGUCUGCUCGUAAUGCUGGCUCUGUGAGAUUGCUCUCUCUCUGGAUGUAAACAGAUUUCUUAAACUGCCCCAAACAGAUAGUUAGAGGGUUGGGUCUUCAGCCACGGCCAAUAUGGAGCCAUUCCUGUGGCGUGUGGUCUCUGACAGGGGCAAGAGAGGAGACAUGCAACUAAUGUGUGUGUGUGUGUGUGUGUGUGUGACACACACAGACAUUAGUAAACCCACACACACACACACAGACACACAAAUAGUUUGCUGUGUUGACUUGGUGGUGUCACUGCAACUAAGCAACC